rnacentral:sRNA from 1 species
UUGGCGGCGGGGUCGAUCUCGCGGGUCACGACGAGGUAGUUGCGCAGCGCGAUCGCGUGCAGAUGCUC